UUAAGCGACUAAGCGUACACGGUGGAUGCCCUGGCAGUCAGAGGCGAUGAAGGACGUGCUAAUCUGCGAUAAGCGUCGGUGAGGUGAUAUGAACCGUUAUAACCGGCGAUUUCCGAAUGGGGAAACCCAGUGUGUUUCGACACACUAUCAUUAACUGAAUCCAUAGGUUAAUGAGGCGAACCGGGGGAACUGAAACAUCUAAGUACCCCGAGGAAAAGAAAUCAACCGAGAUUCCCCCAGUAGCGGCGAGCGAACGGGGAGGAGCCCAGAGCCUGAAUCAGUGUGUGUGUUAGUGGAAGCGUCUGGAAAGGCGCGCGAUACAGGGUGACAGCCCCGUACACAAAAAUGCACAUAUUGUGAGCUCGAUGAGUAGGGCGGGACACGUGGUAUCCUGUCUGAAUAUGGGGGGACCAUCCUCCAAGGCUAAAUACUCCUGACUGACCGAUAGUGAACCAGUACCGUGAGGGAAAGGCGAAAAGAACCCCGGCGAGGGGAGUGAAAAAGAACCUGAAACCGUGUACGUACAAGCAGUGGGAGCCUCUUAAUGGGGUGACUGCGUACCUUUUGUAUAAUGGGUCAGCGACUUAUAUUCUGUAGCAAGGUUAACCGAAUAGGGGAGCCGAAGGGAAACCGAGUCUUAACUGGGCGUUAAGUUGCAGGGUAUAGACCCGAAACCCGGUGAUCUAGCCAUGGGCAGGUUGAAGGUUGGGUAACACUAACUGGAGGACCGAACCGACUAAUGUUGAAAAAUUAGCGGAUGACUUGUGGCUGGGGGUGAAAGGCCAAUCAAACCGGGAGAUAGCUGGUUCUCCCCGAAAGCUAUUUAGGUAGCGCCUCGUGAAUUCAUCUCCGGGGGUAGAGCACUGUUUCGGCAAGGGGGUCAUCCCGACUUACCAACCCGAUGCAAACUGCGAAUACCGGAGAAUGUUAUCACGGGAGACACACGGCGGGUGCUAACGUCCGUCGUGAAGAGGGAAACAACCCAGACCGCCAGCUAAGGUCCCAAAGUCAUGGUUAAGUGGGAAACGAUGUGGGAAGGCCCAGACAGCCAGGAUGUUGGCUUAGAAGCAGCCAUCAUUUAAAGAAAGCGUAAUAGCUCACUGGUCGAGUCGGCCUGCGCGGAAGAUGUAACGGGGCUAAACCAUGCACCGAAGCUGCGGCAGCGACACUAUGUGUUGUUGGGUAGGGGAGCGUUCUGUAAGCCUGUGAAGGUGGCCUGUGAGGGGUGCUGGAGGUAUCAGAAGUGCGAAUGCUGACAUAAGUAACGAUAAAGCGGGUGAAAAGCCCGCUCGCCGGAAGACCAAGGGUUCCUGUCCAACGUUAAUCGGGGCAGGGUGAGUCGACUCCUAAGGCGAGGCCGAAAGGCGUAGUCGAUGGGAAACAGGUUAAUAUUCCUGUACUUGGUGUUACUGCGAAGGGGGGACGGAGAAGGCUAUGUUGGCCGGGCGACGGUUGUCCCGGUUUAAGCGUGUAGGCUGGUUUUCCAGGCAAAUCCGGAAAACCAAGGCUGAGGCGUGAUGACGAGGCACUACGGUGCUGAAGUGACAAAUGCCCUGCUUCCAGGAAAAGCCUCUAAGCAUCAGGUAACAUCAAAUCGUACCCCAAACCGACACAGGUGGUCAGGUAGAGAAUACCAAGGCGCUUGAGAGAACUCGGGUGAAGGAACUAGGCAAAAUGGUGCCGUAACUUCGGGAGAAGGCACGCUGAUAUGUAGGUGAAGCGACUUGCUCGUGGAGCUGAAAUCAGUCGAAGAUACCAGCUGGCUGCAACUGUUUAUUAAAAACACAGCACUGUGCAAACACGAAAGUGGACGUAUACGGUGUGACGCCUGCCCGGUGCCGGAAGGUUAAUUGAUGGGGUUAGCGGUAACGCGAAGCUCUUGAUCGAAGCCCCGGUAAACGGCGGCCGUAACUAUAACGGUCCUAAGGUAGCGAAAUUCCUUGUCGGGUAAGUUCCGACCUGCACGAAUGGCGUAAUGAUGGCCAGGCUGUCUCCACCCGAGACUCAGUGAAAUUGAACUCGCUGUGAAGAUGCAGUGUACCCGCGGCAAGACGGAAAGACCCCGUGAACCUUUACUAUAGCUUGACACUGAACAUUGAGCCUUGAUGUGUAGGAUAGGUGGGAGGCUUUGAAGUGUGGACGCCAGUCUGCAUGGAGCCGACCUUGAAAUACCACCCUUUAAUGUUUGAUGUUCUAACGUUGGCCCGUAAUCCGGGUUGCGGACAGUGUCUGGUGGGUAGUUUGACUGGGGCGGUCUCCUCCUAAAGAGUAACGGAGGAGCACGAAGGUUGGCUAAUCCUGGUCGGACAUCAGGAGGUUAGUGCAAUGGCAUAAGCCAGCUUGACUGCGAGCGUGACGGCGCGAGCAGGUGCGAAAGCAGGUCAUAGUGAUCCGGUGGUUCUGAAUGGAAGGGCCAUCGCUCAACGGAUAAAAGGUACUCCGGGGAUAACAGGCUGAUACCGCCCAAGAGUUCAUAUCGACGGCGGUGUUUGGCACCUCGAUGUCGGCUCAUCACAUCCUGGGGCUGAAGUAGGUCCCAAGGGUAUGGCUGUUCGCCAUUUAAAGUGGUACGCGAGCUGGGUUUAGAACGUCGUGAGACAGUUCGGUCCCUAUCUGCCGUGGGCGCUGGAGAACUGAGGGGGGCUGCUCCUAGUACGAGAGGACCGGAGUGGACGCAUCACUGGUGUUCGGGUUGUCAUGCCAAUGGCACUGCCCGGUAGCUAAAUGCGGAAGAGAUAAGUGCUGAAAGCAUCUAAGCACGAAACUUGCCCCGAGAUGAGUUCUCCCUGAGACUUAGAGUCUCCUGAAGGAACGUUGAAGACGACGACGUUGAUAGGCCGGGUGUGUAAGCGCAGCGAUGCGUUGAGCUAACCGGUACUAAUGAACCGUGAGGCUUAACCUU
rnacentral:rRNA from 1 species